UACGGGGGGCUGCAGUGGGGAAUAUUGGACAAUGGGCGAAAGCCUGAUCCAGCAACGCCGCGUGAGGGAUGACGGCCUUCGGGUUGUAAACCUCUUUCAGCAGGGACGAAGCGAAAGUGACGGUACCUGCAGAAGAAGCACCGGCCAACUACGUGCCAGCAGCCGCGGUAAUACGUAGGGUGCGAGCGUUGUCCGGAAUUAUUGGGCGUAAAGGGCUCGUAGGCGGUCUGUCGCGUCGGGAGUGAAAACUCAGGGCUUAACCCUGAGCCUGCUUCCGAUACGGGCAGACUAGAGGUAUGCAGGGGAGAACGGAAUUCCUGGUGUAGCGGUGAAAUGCGCAGAUAUCAGGAGGAACACCGGUGGCGAAGGCGGUUCUCUGGGCAUUACCUGACGCUGAGGAGCGAAAGUGUGGGGAGCGAACAGGAUUAGAUACCCGAGUAGUCAUCUUCUAGA
rnacentral:rRNA from 1 species